UGACGGGCCCGCACAAGCAGCGGAGCGUGUGGUUUAAUUCGAUGUUACACGAAGAACCUUACCAGGGUUUGACAUGCAAGUGGUAGGAAGCCGAAAGGUGACCGACCCUUCGGGGAGCUUGCACAGGUGCUGCAUGGCUGUCGUCAGCUCGUGUCGUGAGAUGUUCGGUUAAGUCCGCUAACGAGCGCAACCCUCGCUGUGUGUUAUAUGUGUCACACGGGACUGCCGGUCUUAAGCCGGAGGAAGGUGGGGAUGAUGUCAAGUCAGCAUGGCCUUUAUAUCCUGGGCUACACACACGCUACAAUGGUCUGUACAAUGGGUAGCCAAGCCGCGAGGCGGAGCCAAUCCUGAAAGCAGGCCUCAGUUCAGAUUGCAGUCUGCAACUCGACUGCAUGAAGCCGGAGUUGCUAGUAACCGCAGGUCAGCAAUACUGCGGUGAAUACGUUCCCGGGUCUU
rnacentral:rRNA from 1 species